GUUCGCUCUCGGGACUGAGAGGGACCAGACAUCAAUCCAGGUUCUCCACAUCUUUCUAAACAAGUCUCUCCUAUUUCAAACUUGUAUUAGAACAACUACACAGGAAGGCUGGAAUAAAUUGUGUACCAACUGUAAACCCUGUAUAUGAUGGAAACCACUUCAAGUCAGCACCCUGCAACUACAGUGUGCACUUAAGACCAGCAUCACAAAGUCCAAGUGGUACCUUUAUCAUGCAGCAGCAUAUGUUGAGAUAGAAGACAAGCACAGAUGCACCAAGAAUUAUACCUGGACCAGCACUCCCAACAGAAAAAGCAGACAUCUGAUCUUUGUAUGUAAAAGCACACACAAAUCCAAUAUAAUAAAAUAAAUUAAAUUGCAAACAGGGGCCUGAUCUUGCAAACAUUUAAGCAUGUGAUUAACAUUAAGCAUGUGAGUAGCACCA